ensembl:lncRNA
GGUGAAGACCACACCUUACCUCCCAGGACUCUAUUUUCUGAGCAAAGCUCUCCUUCAAGGGCAAGGCAGAUUCUUAUACCCGCUGAGCCACCAGAGAAAAGACUCAUCAGAGGGGAACAAACAAGGCAGGAGGAGAGCUUCCCUAGGCCAAGCUCCUCAAGGAAAGAGGACCUCCCAAUCCCCCAGGAAGGUGUCCCUGAAGGCCUAGCAGUAGUCACAGCUGCCGUGGCUCUUCCCAGGGGCCUGGACAAGCAAUAGUGAAGUCGGAACCACAGAGGACCAGGAGUAAAUUCUGCACAGGAAUAGGAAUUACUCGAGAGCUGCCCACAGCCAAGGCCCUGAAGGCCCCAAGAG